GAUUCAGCUCCGUUGGUAGAGUGCCUGCCUUGCAUGCACAAGGCCCUGGGUUUGAUCCCCAGCACUCA
rnacentral:tRNA from 1 species